UACGUAGGGGGCUAGCGUUGUCCGGAAUUAUUGGGCGUAAAGAGCGUGUAGGCGGUUUGGUAGGUCCGCUGUGAAAACUCGAGGCUCAACCUCGAGACGCCGGUGGAAACCAUCAGACUAGAGUCCGGAAGAGGAGAGUGGAAUUCCUGGUGUAGCGGUGAAAUGCGCAGAUAUCAGGAAGAACACCCGUGGCUAAGGCGGCUCUCUAGUACGGUACUGACGCUGAGACGCGAAAGCGUGGGGAGCGAACAGG
rnacentral:rRNA from 1 species